CCCCCCGGCGCAGACCCGGCCUGCCCCCGCCCCGCGCCCCCAGCCCUCAGCCUCUGGAACACACUGGUGCAGAGGAGAACAUGGCCACAGUAUGAGGACAAUG
rnacentral:lncRNA from 1 species